CAGGUCAGAGAAGACUACCCGCUGGACUUAAGCAUAUCACUAAGCGGAGGAAAAGAAACUAACUAGGAUUCCCCCAGUAACUGCGAGUGAAGAGGGAAGAGCUCAUCAUUGGAAUCUGGCAGUGUUACACUGUCCGAGUUGUAGAUGAGGAGUAGUCCGUCUGGACUGCAUGGCGUCCAAGUACAAUAGGCCGUCAGUGGGACAUCAUAGAGGGUGACAAUCCCGUCCUUGACGCCAAUGUGCAAGUCUAUUACGAUGGCUAUCUCAGAGAGUCGAGCAGUUUGGGAUUUGCUGCUUAAACAUGGGAGGUAGAUUCCUUCUAAAGCUAAAUACAGGCGAGAGACCGAUAGAGAACAAGUACCGCAAGGGAAAGAUGAAAUAGCACUCUGUGAAGGGAGUCAAAAGGCGUGAAAUUGUUGCGAGAGAAGCGAUUCAAGUCAGCGUAGCUAGGCCCAUCAAGCGUCUUCGCUUUGGACUAGCUUUGCCAGCGGUCUUGUCCCUUAAAGAGACUUGACUUGUAAUAUGUCCAGCCUGGCGUGCACAGGCAGCCCCUUCUGGGGGCCAGUGGCAUGGCUGGUGGAAUGGCUUGCAAUCGACCCGUCUUGAAACACGGACCAAGGAGUCUAACAUGUAUGCGAGUAUAAGGGUGGCAAACCCGUAUGCGCAAUGAAAGUGAUUUUCGGUGAUUGAGAAUGGCCUGAUGACCAGACAAGCAAUAUAUGUCCCUCGUACGGCCAUUGCCCAAGUUCCGUGGUAGAUCCCACGAACAUGGAGUUGGAGCAUACAUGCUAGGACCCGAAAGAUGGUGAACUAUGCCUGGACAAAGCGAAGCCAAAGGAAACUCUGGUGGAGGCUUGUAGCGAUUCUGACGUGCAAAUCGAUCGUCUGAUCUGGGUAUAGGGGCGAAAGACUAAUCGAACCAUCUCAUAGCUGGUUCCUGCCGAAGUUUCCCUCAGGAUA
rnacentral:rRNA from 1 species